rnacentral:rRNA from 1 species
UGGGGAAUUUCGGACAAUGGGCGAAAGCCUGAUCCAGCAAUGCCGCGUGUGUGAAGAAGGCCUUCGGGUUGUAAAGCACUUUUGUCCGGAAAGAAAUCCUUGGCUCUAAUACAGUCGGGGGAUGACGGUACCGGAAGAAUAAGCACCGGCUAACUACGUGCCAGCAGCCGCGGUAAUACGUAGGGUGCAAGCGUUAAUCGGAAUUACUGGGCGUAAAGCGUGCGCAGGCGGUUUGCUAAGACCGACGUGAAAUCCCCGGGCUUAACCUGGGAACUGCAUUUGUGACUGGCGGGCUAGAGUAUGGCAGAGGGGGGUAGAAUUCCACGUGUAGCAGUGAAAUGCGUAGAGAUGUGGAGGAAUACCGAUGGCGAAGGCAGCCCCCUGGGCCAAUACUGACGCUCAUGCACGAAAGCGUGGGGGAGCAAACAGGAUUAGAUACCCUGGUAGUCCACGCCCUAAACGAUGUCAACUAGUUGUCGGGUCUUCAUUGACUUGGUAACGUAGCUAACGCGUGAAGUUGACCGCCUGGGGAGUACGGUCGCAAGAUU